UGUGUCGCCUUUUUCGAAGACCUAGCGGAGGGGGUGGGGAGGUGGGGUGCUCCCCUGGGGUGCUCCCUCGGCUGUCUCCAACGCGUGACCGGCACCCUCCACUGAGCCUAGCUACUCAGACAAAUACGAAAUAGGGCUGCUAGGAGGGAUGAGUAGGCCUAAACUCAGUCUUCCGCUGCGCGGGGCUGGAAACCGCUGUCCCGAGGGUCGAAGGGCGAAGGGAGCGGAGCCGAGGUGACUCAGGGCCGAUCCGAGGGUCGGGGCCAAGUGAGGACUUGGAGACAAAUAGAAGACUAUGUGGAGAGUGGCUUGUGUAUGCGUCCUGGGCAGAGAAACUUCUUGGACUGGGUUAAUAUUAAUAAGAGGCUCAGAAAGGACACCGAUUCCCUUGGGCAAAGUGCUGGUGCUGGCCAAAGGCCCUUCCCUCUGACCCUCUCAUGAGAAGCAGAGCUGCUGUCAAGACACUGCGUGCCAUCAGGGGACACGGGUUCAAGCCCUGGUCCGGGAAGAUCCCACAUGCCGUGGAGCAACUAAGCCCGUGCGCCACAACUACUGAGCCUGCGCUCUAGAACCUGCGUGCCACAACUACUGAGCCCGUGAGCCACAACUACUGAAGCCUGUGCACCUAGAGCCCGUGCUCCGCAACGAGGGAAGCCAUCACAAUGAGAAGCCUGCACACCACAACGAAGAGUAGCCCCCGCUCACCGCAACUAGAGAAAGCCCGCGUGCAGCAAUGAAGACCCAACACAGCCAAAAAUAAAAUAAAUAAAUAAAUUUAUAAAAAAAAAAAAAUGGAAAGUAAAAAUCCUCCUCCUCACCCUCCAAUCUUCCAGUAUCACAACUGUAAACACAACAAUUUCUGUAAAAUACUGAAAUUUAUAAAUAUUCUAACAAGUCAAAAGGCUUUGUUUCUUCUGUAUUGGUUU